rnacentral:rRNA from 1 species
CCUACGGGUGGCAGCAGUGGGGAAUAUUGCACAAUGGGGGAAACCCUGAUGCAGCGACGCCGCGUGAGUGAAGAAGUAAUUCGUUAUGUUAAGCUCUAUCAGUAGGGAAGAAAAUGACGGUACCUGAGUAUGAAGCCCUGGCUAACUACGUGCCAGCAGCCGCGGUAAUACGUAGGGGGCAAGCGUUAUCCGGAUUUACUGGGUGGAAAGGGAGCGUAGACGGCAGUGCAUGUCUGUAGUGAAAGGCGGGGGCUCAACCCCCGGACUGCACUGGAUACUGUACGGCUGGAGUGCAGGAGAGGUAAGUGGAAUUCCUAGUGUAGCGGUGAAAUGCGUAGAUAUUAGGAGGAACACCAGUGGCGAAGGCAGCUUACUGAACUGUAACUGACAUUGAGGCUCGAAAGCGUGGGGAGCAAACAGGAGUAGAUACCCCUGUAGUC